rnacentral:rRNA from 1 species
UCGAGGAUCUUUUGCAAUGCCCGCAAGGGUGACAAUGCGACGCCGCGUGAGCGAAGAAGGCCUUCGGGUUGUAAAGCUCUGUCAGCUGGGACGAAUGCAGGAGAGGUAAUACCUUUUCCUGAGUGACGGUACCAGCAGAGGAAGCCACGGCUAACUCCGUGCCAGCAGCCGCGGUAAUACGGAGGUGGCAAGCGUUGUUCGGAUUUACUGGGUGUAAAGGUCAUGUAGGCGUUCUUUUAAGUCGGGUGUGAAAUCCCAUGGCUCAACCAUGGAAUUGCACUCGAUACUGGGAGGAUUGAGUACGGGAGAGGUAAGCGGAAUUCCGGAAGUAAGGGUGAAAUCUGUAGAUAUCCGGAAGAACACCAUUAGCGAAGGCGGCUUACUGGUCCGAUACUGACGCUGAAAUGAGAAAGCUAGGGGAGCAAACAGG